AACCCAUGAUGAGGACAGUUCCUUAGUAAUUCCUUGCAUCUUUCCUAAGCCUCAUAUAAAAUCUCACCUUCAUAUUGAGUAAAACUGUUGAUUUCAAUUGGCAU